UGAAAAGUCCUGAUUUGACCUCUACCCCUGACCCGGAUGUAUAUAAUCCACGUUGGUGACACAUUUUGACAGCUAUCUCCAGAAAAUGCCGAACAUGCUAUGUUGAAACUUUCAUAUUUUGCUUCUCACAUGUUGGUCUUGGCCAGAUGAUCCUGAAGCUGAUUGUCUCCCCUGCCAUGUUGCGGAAUGAUGGAUCUAGCUACCCUCUUCUGUAGUCGGACUUUCGAGCGGACUUGGACCUUUUCUUAUGAUCUUUAUGCUGUGCUGCCAGUCUUGAUAGAGCUCUCUUCUUCACUUCAGGAGCUCCAAUACCAACAUCUGGUUAUCUGGCGUCAUCUGAAGAUGAUGUAUCUGGUUCGAACUGAGGAACAUUGAGCGCACCCACCAGUUGUCACCGUCAUCUCCAGAGCACACCUCGGAGUGCUGACUACACUUGGAACAGUCCCCUGAAUAGCACGACACGGUGGCAUCUAACACAUCAGGGUCCUGUGUGAAAAGUUCCGAUUUGACCUCUACCCCUGACCCGGAUGUAUAUAAUCCACGUUGGUGACACAUUUUGACAGCUAUCUCCAAAAAAUGCCGAACAUGCUAUGUUGAAACUUUUAUAUUUUGCUUCUCACAUGUUGGUCUUGGCCAGGUGAGUUGGA